rnacentral:rRNA from 1 species
CGUGCCGCAGCUAACGCAUUAAGUGCCCCGCCUGGGGAGUACGGCCGCAAGGCUAAAACUCAAAGGAAUUGACGGGGGCCCGCACAAGCGGCGGAGCAUGUGGCUUAAUUCGACGCAACGCGAAGAACCUUACCUGGGCUUGACAUACACCGGAUCGGGCUAGAGAUAGUCUUUCCCUUGUGGCUGGUGUACAGGUGGUGCAUGGUUGUCGUCAGCUCGUGUCGUGAGAUGUUGGGUUAAGUCCCGCAACGAGCGCAACCCUUGUCUUAUGUUGCCAGCACGUGAUGGUGGGGACUCAUGAGAGACUGCCGGGGUUAACUCGGAGGAAGGUGGGAUGACGUCAAAUCAUCAUGCCCCUUAUGUCCAGGGCUUCACACAUGCUACAAUGGUCGGUACAACGCGUGUGCGACACUGUGAGGUGAAGCUAAUCGCUCUAAAGCCGGUCGUAGUUCGGAUUGGGGUCUGCAACUCGACCCCAUGAAGUCGGAGUCGCUAGUAAUCGCAGAUCAGCAACGCUGCGGUGAAUACGUUCCCGGGCCUUGUACACACCGCC